UGAGAGCCUCCUGUGAAUGCGCACACAGGACUGUGCUACUCGUCGGAUGCUGGUAUCAAGGUCUCUGGUCAUGAUCCAUUGUGGAACUACACUAAUGUGUUAUCUUCCAUAAACUACUUCCUUGAAACAAUUUCUAUGUUGUUUGUCAAGUGAUCAAGCAACAUCCAUCAUCUCUGUUGGAUCAAAAGGGCAUACCCCUUUAAUGUGUGGUCUCUUGUCCCUUUACUUUGGUAGUGACUACACACAUACAAGUUCCCUUUAUGUCCUUUGUGUAAAGGUGAAGCCUUGGAGCUUUUUAGUGUCGAGAGACAACUGAUUAGCUCUCAAAAUGGUGAUCUGUUUCCCCUGCUGCUGAGAUGCAGGAGUUUAUUCAUUCGCUCUCUUAUUUAAUCCAUGUAUUCCCGAACCAAGUCAAUUCAUCUCGCAUGGAAGAAAUGGAUGAACAACCUGACCAAAUGGAUUUCUAUCCAAAUACAUGAUCUUUUGCUAGCAGAUGUGAACUCUCAACCCUUGGCUUACCGAUGGUACUGAGAGGACAUGCCCAAUGUCAAAAGUAGUUCAACAAGUUGGUUUUACUAACUUGUAACUGCACUGUAACAAAGGUUGAGUUUAGAGAUCGUUUUAUCGAUUUGCCUGAACUCACUUUGGUUCAACCCACCCUAAAGAAAGUACUUACAAGAAUCAAGUUAAGUCGACUAAUAACCACCUAAUUAUCGCUCUAGCCAUGCCUCAAUCGUCUCACGUGUGCUUUUCCAGCAUGUGUGAUUAAGUCGAUCCAUGAUUAGUGCUGGAUAAAAUGGAGUGGUUGUAAAGUUCGUAUCUACUGAUCCAUCCGCUGGUGAUUUUCUCGAAUCUAUAUCACCUUUCAGGGACUUGGAUUUUUUGGUUAGCCACGAGUCAACUGUGAUGUUAUUCGACAUUCACACCCGUCUCUUGUGCUAAGAACUUACCAUGACCGCUUGUUGGUAAACCCCUUUCUGUGUGUUUUACCCAAGAGGUUGCAUCUGGUUCUGUUUGGGUAAGGUCAUAUAUCUACCGCUCACCCAACAGAAUCAGAUAGUAUGGUGUCAUCAGGAAAAAGCAAACUGCACACAUGGGACCUUAUGUGUUCUUCUGGCAGACAUCGUCUCUAUUGGUGGACAUCUCUAAAUUGGCUUAAGUCGAUACAUGUUAUGCCCACUAGAGAAACCACAUCCUGAGACACUUGCCUUCGCUCAGAACUGCCUUAUGAUUAUCGCUGAUAUGGACGUGGGUUACAUGCUUCUCUACUCUUGAAAGUCUUUCGCUCCGAAUCUCGGGACGAGAUUCUUUUAAGGGGGGAGGGCUGUAACACCCCAGGUGUUUAUAUUCCGCUCGACAACGAGUUCGGAUUUAAGCACGUAAUAUAAGUGGAUGAAACGGAUACUAAAAUUUAAUCGUCUUCGCCUAUUGUGAUUUUAAUAUCGCAUCUCUUUCGUCUGUCGCGGGUGCGACAUCGUUUUUAUUUCAUCUAUUCGGGCUCGUCCUAAAUUUUUGUGUUGUUCGGAACAUAGUGGUUCCGAAAAUCGGUGCGUCCGGUGAUUAUUUAAAAUUCAUCGCUCGCGUAUAUACGAAUUUGGAAAUUUAUUCCAGUCCUCCGAUUUCUUCUCAAACGAGAUUUAUUAGAACUCGACAACUAAAGUUUUAGGUGAAAAAUAAUUCUAUCUCAGCCCAUUAGCUGAGAAAUCACAUCCGAGGAUUUGAAAUUGAGAUUUAUUCGCUCAGUAAAUUAUCUACCCUAAAUUAAAUCAAGCGCAGGCUGUACUAGUUUGACUGGUAUCUUUUAUUUCAUCCAGCUUACUCCCGCGUAGAUUUAAUUUGAGAACUAAAUUAUCUGUAUAGUCUUUUGUGUAAAAAAAAGAGAAGAAAAAUUCUAUUUUUCUUUCACCAUUUUAUAUCCCAGUAUUAUCUCUUCCCCAUCGUAACUUCUCUCAUCCAAUGGACAGCGUUCUUCGUUUUUUUUUUUCGGCCACCGCUUUGGACUUCUGUAUUAUCCCGACGCCGCUUUAAUCCCUGGAGUUCCAUCUCCCGUAGCUGUACUUGGUCUUAUCCGUGUACAGAGCUCGUUCAUUUCUCCAACACGACAUCCCUCUCCAGCUCAUUCCAGCGCAUUCCACCAGUUGCUCUCUGCCGCGCCCCUGGCCCCUCUGUGCGAGCUCGUUCCAUAGCCGGCUUCGAGCUCGCCCUGCUCGGUCAUGGCGUGGACACCAGACGAGCUCCCUAGUGCUCGCCCCUCUCCAGCCGAGCUCCUCUCAUCUCUCCCUCGCGUCUUCCUCUCCCUGCCAUGGACGCCGGAGUUCCGCUACUCGCCAUGGCUGCCGGACGAGUCUCUUCCGUCUUUGCUCGACAUCUUCGAGCUUGGUUCCUGCGUGCGCGCUGCACUACUCCCAUGGCGUGUUCCUGCGCCCGGCUGGAUUUCCCUGCUGAGCUCGGUCACAUGCCUGGGCACCGUGUUCUGCACGCUCGCCGGUUUCUUCGCCUCCAUCAGCCGCGGCAACGUGCUCUUGCUGGCGCCCCUAGUCACAACUCGAGUUGUCUUUCUGGCUGGCCACCAGCGUGUCGUCUAGGGACGAUUCUUCACUGUUGCUUCUCCACGGCCGUCACCUUCCAUGGCCGGCGUUCCCCUCUCUUCCAUUGCCGCGAUGCUCCCUCGCUCCUGCUGCUCGCCGUGGCCAGCAGCUUCAAAUCCUUGUAGCAUGUCUCCGCACUCUGCGUCAUCACCGUCGUGGUUUUUGGAGUUCGUCGUGACGCGCUGCCGAUGAUCUGUGUAUAGCGGGAGAUCUUCGCAAGUUCACGCAGCUUCGUGGUACGUUUAUUGACUACGUGAUACGGAGGAUCAGAACUGAGUCGACCACAAGAUGUCGCCGCGCGUGAGUUUCUCCACAAGAUGAUGCUGACGGACGAAACUGAAGAUGGACAGACGAAGCAAGUAUCAGAACAAAAGGAUGAUCGCCAAGUGGUCGUCGUCUAACAAACACUAACGUAGUGUUUAUUCCAGGCAAGCCCCGGUGCAUUUACCCCUUCCUUGUGUUUUUAAAAAGAUUUUUAUACACUUUAAGUCUAGCGAAAUGUGCAUUAAGUUUAUAGGAGUUGCUUGGAAACCCUUUGAUGCAUUGCCUACCUUGAUAUCCAUACCUUUAUAGAUACUUCUGGUGAAGUAUCAAAACAUGAUUUACAAAAAUGCUUAGCCCUGCUUAUAAGCAGAUGGAGUUUGUCCUUUGCACUUAUGCCCAGCUCAGGUUUAUCCUGAGGAAGGAUGGCUUCUACCUGCAACAAUAUUUUUCUUGGGAGCAUGGUGGGAUCUUACUGCAAAGUUCCCUAUAAUGCUCUUUUCAUCCUAAGGAACACAAAACAAUCCUAAGGAUGGAAGUACUUAAAUCGGGACUUGGGCUAGGAACAGGUGAUGCUCCGCCCAAGUUAGUUAAGGAUUGGAUGCGUAUGUAGGCCUGUAUGAUCAAGGACUAUCUUAACUAGCCACAUGCCCUGGAUAUGGGACAGGAUAAGCUUGAACCCGGCUAUUCCAUACAUGAAAAGACAAUCGCGCACUGGGAGUGGAGAGAUGGCGAGAGUGGCACGUACCCUCCUGGCAAAGGACCGCCUAAAAAGGGUGGUGUGCUCUCGGGUGGCGCGGACCUGUUCAUGCAGUGGAGGAUCCGUGGGAAUGGUUGACAUAUGCAAGGGUUAAGUGCUACAUAUGUCGUGUGGUUAGAAAUCCUCAGCUGAGUAAAUCGAUUCGGAUCGCCGUUAUAUCCCCGGAGAGUGGAGACUUGAUCGCUGCCCUGCAACCUAAGUCAGGAUGUGAACCUCAUGAAUAAAAAUGAUGUUGUAUUGAUGAGAUGGUGAAAUUAGACCAGAUGCAAAUAGAGUCUAUUAAUAUUUAAUCUGACGUUAAAAUAUUGAAAGUAAGGACUCACUUUAGUAAGCUAUUUCUGCAAAAGUAUCUAAGUUGAUUUUUGCUAAAGCCUCUCCUUGAUUCCCAAAUCCAGCAUAUCCUUGAGAGUCUUUUCUUUAGUCGGGUAAGUCUUGCUGAGUAAUUCCAUACUCAGGGUUUUAUUCCCUAUUGUUUUUCAGGUCAUAGUUUUGUGCUGCUGAUGAUGGUGUUAAGUGUCGGUGGGCUCGACCUUCUUAUAAGUCUAAGUAACCCUUCUAUACUUCUUAAUGAGGAUGGUCCCUUGAGCUAGCAUAUAUUUCAAACUUAUACUUUUGUAAUCACUCCGAUAAACUAAUGUAAAAUUUUUGUAACCUGUAAAAUUUGGUAGUAAGAUUUACGCUGCAACAAUAUUGGUGUGUGUGAUUUGUGUUACUUAAUCCCGCGGUUCUGGUUGUAAGUGGUUUAUCCGAUGUCCUUGGGACACUCGGACGGAUCCUGUUAAGUUAUUUGGUGCACAUGCAUAGUCGUCUGAGGUCUUUGAGACAAGGACAGGUGCAUGUGGGCCCAAUAACUUGGGAGGUUCUGCCACACUGGGGCUAGGCAUGCCGCUUUUAAAAAUUUGCUUUGCUUUUAAAGAUUUGCUGACAAGCUGAAGAAUUCGAUACAGGUAGAAUGCUAAUACAUGAGAGCACAACACAACUAAUUAAUGUCUGUUUACAUCUAAUUUUAUACAGAUAUAAGAGGACAAAUAAUUGAUGAACUAAUGCUAGAAAAUUGCAGUUAAGAACACUGUAGGCACACAACAAUAAUCAAAAGUCUGCAAAUGUGGACUACAAGAAGAUUGAACGAUUUCAGUUAAAUCUGCUAUAACCGAUAAGAGAAUAAGUCAAAUUAAUAGUUUGAAGUGAAGCAAUGCUAUGGCUUAUAAUUGAAUGCUAUUUGAGAGACUAUCCAUAGGAUAUGUCAUUUGGAAACAACAUAUUCAAUACUGAUUGCUUCAAGUAGAAGAUAGGCUAUCUGUAAUUUCUGAAUCUUCAAAAGUUUGCAUCCAAUGGCAAAUAGAUACCGGAAUGAGCUCAAGUGAUACAUUUAGAGCAAUGAUUAAUUCCAUCUACUUCUUUGCAAUAUUUAAGCAAAUGCAUUUCUAACGUUACAAAUUUGAUCACUUUUGAGGUAUGAACAUUUAGAAGCCGAAGACCAUGGCGGCAUAGGUACACAGUGCCAACGUUGCCUCCGUCGAUGCGGCGCAGCAGCCUAGUGUCACGCGGUCUCAACGGCGCCGCGGCCGGCGCCGACGCCACGUGGAUGGUCACCCACGCCAUCGACGAGGUCAGAGCAGCAGUAGCCGCCAUGGGUAGCGCGCAGAUGUGGAGCAGUCGAAUGAGAAAGACGGGCUGGAGCACCACAGCAGGUUGGUGUUGCUGCUGGCCAGCAGCCGCUCCUCUCCCACCGGCGCCGAGAGGGACCUGUGACCCAAGGAUCUGUUCUCGGGGGAUAUGGUGUUCGCGGUCGUCAAGGAUCUCAGGCUCAACCACUCCAAGGACCCAUCGGCCAUGUGGUUACGCAAUCCAAAGGCCUCCCUCACCGAUUUCAUCUAGGGUCCAGUUCUUGAAAGGGUGGGAAUGUGUCCAAGAAGACAAAGGCAUCGACCCGCCAAUUCUUCGCUACAAAUUCAAACAGCACUAGGGUGAGAUCAGUGGGCUUGAGAGUAGCAUCAUCCUUCAAACAAGAUCAAUAUUUUGCCACAACUCAUAAUGAGAUCGAGAUUUCAUUGUACAUGCAUCCACAAGGCAUCUUUUUAUAUUUUUUAACAUGAGUGUACUGAUGCAAUGUCGUUCUGUUUUGUCAUUUUAUUUUUGUUAUAUCUUGGAGAUGUCGAGCUUGAUCAAUAUUUUGCCAUUGAAUUUAUGAGUGGCCUAUAUGUUCACUGUUUGCCCA